GUAGUGGGAGAAGAAGCACCGGCCAACAUGCAGCCAGCAGCCGCGGAUUAUCGAUGGCAGCGAGCGUCGUCCGGAAUUACUGGGCGUAAAGAGCUCGUAGGCGGUUUGUCGCGUCGUCUGUGAAAACCCGCAGCUCAACUGCGGGCUUGCAGGCGAUACGGGCAGACUCGAGUACUGCAGGGGAGACUGGAAUAGCUGGUGUAGCGGUGAAAUGCGCAGAUAUCAGGAGGAACACCGGUGGCGAAGGCGGGUCUCUGGGCAGUAACUGACGCUGAGGAGCGAAAGCGUGGGUAGCGAACAGGAUUAGAUACCCUAGUAGUCCACGCCGUAAACGGUGGGCGCUAGGUGUGGGUUUCCUUCCACGGGAUCCGUGCCGUAGCCAACGCAUUAAGCGCCCCGCCUCCCGAGUACGCGC
rnacentral:rRNA from 1 species